UACGGGGGGGUGCGAGCGUUGUCCGGAAUCACUGGGCGUAAAGGGCGCGUAGGUGGCCUGAUAAGGGUGUGGUGAAAGUCCGGGGCUCAACCCCCGGAUCUGCCGUGCCGACUGUUAGGCUAGAGUACUGUAGGGGCAGGCGGAAUUCCGGGUGUAGCGGUGGAAUGCGUAGAGAUCCGGAGGAAGACCGGUGGCGAAGGCAAUCCCCUGGGCCUGCACUGACGCUCAUGCACGAAAGCGUGGGGAGCAAACAGG
rnacentral:rRNA from 1 species